UACGUAGGUGGCGAGCGUUGUCCGGAUUUACUGGGCGUAAAGAGCGCGCAGGCGGUCGUUCAAGUCGCGUGUGAAAGCCCCCGGCUCAACUGGGGAGGGUCACGCGAUACUGAUCGACUCGAAGGCAGGAGAGGUAGUGGAAUUCCCGGUGUAGUGGUGAAAUGCGUAGAUAUCGGGAGGAACACCAGUGGCGAAGGCGGGUCUCUGGGCAGUAACUGACGCUGAGGAGCGAAAGCGUGGGGAGCGAACAGG
rnacentral:rRNA from 1 species